GACGAGGUGGCCGAGGGGUUAAGGCGUGGGACUGGUAAGCCAAUGUGCUCCGCACACGUGGGUUUGAAUCCCAUCCUCGUCG
rnacentral:tRNA from 1 species